rnacentral:lncRNA from 1 species
UUCCUCGUUCAUUCCAAGCCUACGAGCUUGUGCUCAAAAGACUUUCUCCUAUACACUCUAAUCCAAGGGCAAGUGGACUCCCAAAUAUGAAGGACCCUUUGUUGUCAAAAAGGCCUUCUCAUAGGGGAUCUCAUUCUCACCAUAAUGGAUGGGGGUGACUUUCCGAUGUCGGUAAACUCAGAUAUAGUCAAAAAAAUAUUAUGCCUAGAAAAAAAAGAACACAAAGCCCAC